CGAAACCGCGAAUGGCUCAUUAAAUCAGUUAUGGUUCACUAGAUCGUACAGUUUACAUGGAUAACUGUGGUAAUUCUAGAGCUAAUACAUGCAACCAGUCCGUUCCCUCGUGGAGCGGACGCAGUUAUUUGCCCAAGACCAAUCCGGCCCUCGGGUCGGUCAAUUGGUGACUCUGAAUAACCGAAGCGGAGCGCAUGAUCUCGUGUCGGCGCCAGAUCUUUCAAGUGUCUGACUUAUCAGCUUGUUGUUAGGUUAUGUUCCUAACAAGGCUUUUACGGGUAACGGAGUGUCAGGGCCCGACACCGGAGAGGGAGCCUGAGAAACGGCUACCACAUCCAAGGAAGGCAGCAGGCGCGCAAAUUACCCACUCCCGGCACGGGGAGGUAGUGACGAAAAAUAACG
rnacentral:rRNA from 1 species